rnacentral:lncRNA from 1 species
AGGAAAUGUAAUUUGUUAGGAUGAAGGCCACCCAUUGGUCUUUGUUAACACUACGUGAGACGGGCCUCAUGUUCCCUGUUUUACAGAUGGGUAAACUGAGGCCUAGGGGGUUGAUGACCUUACCCGAGAUCUUCCAUCUUGUAAGUGAAGCUGAGAUUCACACCAGGUUUUCUAGCACACAAGCAUCUUGUUUUUCUCUAUUCCAUGCUGCCUAGAUUCAUAAAUCACUCUCUUGUUUCUUGUAACUGGGAGGUGUGGGCUCUGGACCAGAGCACUCUCCUGGGUCCAGGUGCUGGUGGGUGACUGUGUCCUCUGCGAUCACGUUGACAAGCUCAGGCAGGAUCUGUAUGACGAUGGUGACAAAGAAGCAGGAUGCUGAGUCUGGGCAAGGGGCGAUGCUUUCCGCCUGCGUUUGGCACACCACCUGGAGAAGCGGCCUGUACUCUCAGAUGGCUUGAUUCAAUGGACGCGGAGGCACGUCCCAGCUCUGGUUUUGUGACCGCGACAGUUGCAUCCCUUUCCUUGGGCUCUCCUGUCAAAGUCCAGGUUUCGGACCUUGUUCAAAUCUAGUGUGAUGGGCUCCAUUUGACUUGAUGGAUGAUACAAACGGCAUUAUGUGGAUGAUGAUCUGCUCAUGUAUGUGUGACGGGGUCACCAUGCUGUACAGUGGAAAAUUGACAGAACACUGUAAACCAGCUAUAAUGAAAAAAAUAAAAAUCAUUAUAUAAAAAAAUAGGAUGAUGCAAACAGACAGUGUGUCAGGGUGGGGGGUGCUUUUUCUUGGAGGCUUGAGGGCACAUUAUAGGUUGAGCUGUGUCCCCCUCCAGAUUCAUAUGUUGAAGUGUUGGCCCCCAGUACCUCAGAAUGUGACAUUGUUUGGAUACAGGGUCACAGCAGAUGUCACUACUUAAGAUGAGUUCAUACCAGGAUGUGAGGACCCUAAUUCGAUAUGACUGGUGUCCUUAUAAAAAAAAGGGGGGGGUGUUCCUGUUGUGGCGCGGUGGAAACAAACCCAACUAGUAUCCAUGAGGAUGUAGGUUCGAUCCCUGGCCUCACUCAGUGGGUUAAGGAUCCCAGCGUUGCCGUGAGCUGUGGUGUAGGGCAGCUCGGAUUUAGCAUUGCUGUGGCUCUGCCGGCGUGCCCCACAGCCACAGCAACGCAGGAUGGGAGUUGCGUCUGCGACCUACAUCUCAGCUCAUGGCAACACCGGCUCCUUAACCCACUGAGCGAGGCCAGGGAUCGAACCCGAGUCCUCAUGGACACUAGUCAGAUUCAUUACUGCUGAGACACAAGAGGAACUCCCUUAAUUGGGUUUUUUAAAGGGAAACACUUUGUCCAUUAGGGCUGGAAACAUAUUUUCGUCAAGACCAUAAGGCGAC